CAUGUAGGCGGAUUAAUAAGUUUGAAGUGAAAUCCUAUAGCUUAACUAUAGAACUGCUUUGAAAACUGUUAAUCUAGGAUGUGGGAGAGGUAGAUGGAAUUUCUGGUGUAGGGGUAAAAUCCGUAGAGAUCAGAAGGAAUACCGAUUGCGAAGGCGAUCUACUGGAACAUUAUUGACGCUGAGAUGCGAAAGCGUGGGGAGCAAACA
rnacentral:rRNA from 1 species